UACGGAAGGUGCAAGCGUUCUCCUGAUUCCCUGGGUUUAAAGGGAGCGUAGGUGGGUUGGUCGGUCAGUGGUGAAAUCCCCGAGCUUAACUUGGGAACUGCCAUUGAUACUAUCAGUCUUGAAUACCGUGGAGGUCAGCGGAAUAUGUCAUGUAGCGGUGAAAUGCUUAGAUAUGACAUAGAACACCAAUUGCGAAGGCAGCUGGCUACACGAAUAUUGACACUGAGGCGCGAAAGCGUGGGGAUCAAACAGG
rnacentral:rRNA from 1 species